CAAAGCCUAUAGCCUAUUUCAAGGCUAAACUAAUUUGAAAAAGCCUUACAAAAGUAAGUCAUGAAUUGCCUCAAUAAACAAAAGAUCUUUUGCCUUGCAGAGGUCCUUGGUUGAGAGGCAGGGCCACAGGAAACCUUACAGAAGUGGAAGAAUCUGUCCCUCCUCAGUAUGAGUCUGGAACUUUUCUACCCUGGCCAGGCCUUGAAUCUGAAAGUAGGACUCCAAAGCACAGAUAGGGAAGGAAAGUUAAGCUACAGGAAGAGAAUCUUGUUUCCUCUUUUGUUCCCUCCCCAAUUCACAGAAUGAUUACUGCCCUUGCCUACAACCUGAAAUAUCUGUAAACAUUGCCUCCAACAGCUGAUGAAAUGCUUCUUCCAGACUGGUAAGUGUGGGUUUGGCUGAGGAGGAGUGUGUGGUGUGUGUGUGUGUGUGUGUGUGUGUGUGUGUGUGUGUGUGUGUGUGUGCGUGCGUGCGUGUGUGUGUGUGUGUGUGUGAGAGAGAGAGAGAGAGAGAGAGAGAGAGUGAUCUUGAUGCUUGCUUGCAAAACAUGCUUUCAAGAGAAGCAAUGAUUCAUUUGGGGAGGGGAUGGUUCCAUUCCCCCAGACCUCAAACAGGUGUAGAAAAGGGUCAGAGAAACGCAUGGGAGAAGCUGAACUCACACUUACCUUUGAGCAGCAAACGAGACUCUAAUGAAGAACAAAUCUGCUGAUGAGUAUGUGACAGCCAUUUGAAUCAAGAUAUUUGCAAACUUCAGGCUCAAUCGCAACGUGUUUCUGUAUACACAAUCAUGCAUAUGAUAUACGAUUUUGAAACAAAAGUGAACUUUCUUUCCUUUGAUAACACCCACUGAAAUGCAACAAGAAUUGUCAGCUGCAAGCAACCAGUUGCUAUUCUGGCUCUAACGUGCUUAUGCAAUUAAUAGUCCAGCAGUCUGGUCCAAGGCCCCUCUUUGCUUGGAGCAAGAGUGUUAAUGAAGCUUAGAGGCCAAGCCUUUUAUUUAUAGAUAUAGUGUCCUCUUGAAAUGUAACAACAUACAAAAAAAGUAAUAAAACAGAGAGGCAAUCGGGGAUUUUGUUGAUGUUUGUUAUUAGCAUUGUGUAAAAUAUGACACAGCCAACUUCAAUUCCUAUUUCAAGUGACCAUUCUGAUGGUUCUAGAAAAAGCAUCAGUGGUUCAAGUAAAAAAAAAAAAAAUCUAAGAAAGCCCUGAGACUUGCCACUUAUCAUUACUUAAGUGAGCAUUUCCGAAAAGCUUUAAGAUACAAAAAUGCAAUUCAUGUUUCUAAAUACUUCCACACAAUGUUGAAAUAAUACUUCUAAUAUUUGACUUGGUAAAACUCACUGAUUGCUGACUUCACAUUAGAGUAUAUACUAUUUUGUGUAAGAUAUUCCAUUUCUCAAUGAGCUGUAUGUUUAAAUAGCAGGAGCAUAUCAUUGCAGGUUUCUUUACAGCUCAGUGUGAAGAACCAUAUCAUUGACUCCCAAAAUAUGAAAGUGUCUUCCUUUAAACCUUUUAAAACUGUCCCCAUAAACCUACUCCACAUUCUAAUAAUGAGAAAACAUUGAUGUAAUUUAAUUUCUAUUCUGUCAAUUAUGAAUUUAUCUCAUCUUGGCAAAGGGCCUUUUUUGGAGAAGUUGAUUGUGGGAAAGGAGGAUGGCAUGGCAGGAACAUGGAGAUUGAAAUGUUUCAUUUUACAAUCAAGAAAAAACAGUGUAAUUGUCCUCAUCGUGUCACCAGUGGGUAAAGUCUGAAAGGGUUUGAUUUGGACGAACUUCAUUGCCACUAUCAGGGGCACACUGACACCAACUAGUAAAUUACCAAAGACUACAUCACUGAAAAAUCAUCAUUUCAAUUCUGUCUCACUUGUUAUUGGAAUCCUUCUGGGUCUUUGGGGGAAAGAAUAAAGGAAGAUAGAGAAAACUAAGUUAAGUGCGCCAAGGUGCCUUGUGUGUCAAAACAAAGUGGGUAGUCUGUUCAGGCUAGCUAAAUUCUGGGAAGAAAACCUAAAUCAUCUAUUCUUAAUGCCCAUUUUUUUCCUGAUUUACGAGUACCGCUAAAUAAAUAGUUUAAACUGUAAUGUAAACAAAGCUUAAAAUUUGAAUGACAUCCAUUACCAUAAAUUUCCUGAGUAUUUGGCCAAAUUCUGCCUGCACUUUCAGCCUAACCUGCAGGGGGCAAUAGCUUGACGCGAAUGACAACAAAGGCUGCUAAGCUAUUAGACUUGGAUUUCUGACUCUGACCCUGGAAUGUUGUGUAGGUUGGAAAGAGUGCUUAAUUAAUGUAUAUUGAAACAAAAGAUCAGGUAAAUUGUUUGAUUUGUCUUCAAGCAAUAUUUUUAGAGUAAUCUAAUUCAUAACUCAUAAGGGUUUUUUUUUCUUUAAAGAGAUUAUCAAAGUUUCAUGGAGACACAUUUAGUUACCUCAAGGAUUAUCCUAAAUAAUAAUUGUUUAUUGUAGAAUUUGUGUAACAUGUGGUCUUAGAAAAAGACAGCAGAAUCAAAUGAACAGAGUUUUCAGUGUUCAAUGAGUGACAAAAUUAGAGUAAAUAUGGAAUAUUUAGAAUAGAUUAUGAAACAUUAUUGCACAUCUAGAUAAUAAACUCAAUAUUCCUUCUGUAAAAUCAAAUAAUUACAAAUAGAUGAGAGCUAGUCACCCUACCAUUUACAAUACGUUUUCUUUCCACAUAUAAAAUAUUAAUUUUUAAAAUGGAUUUAUAUUUAAAUACGAUCAAUAAUUAAUAAGUGAUCUAGCUUUUAUUGCUAUUUUUCUGUUACAGAUAGAAUGGAAUUUAUUGACUAUUGAUAGUCUACACUCUCUUUGCCUUCCCCUGGGUAUCUCCACACUCCUAUUCCUUGGCUACCCCAUUAACU
ensembl:lncRNA